AGAGUUUGAUCCUGGCUCAGGACGAACGCUGGCGGCGCGCCUAACACAUGCAAGUCGAACGAGAGAGAGGGAGCUUGCUUCCUUGAUCGAGUGGCGAACGGGUGAGUAACGCGUGAGGAACCUGCCUCAAAGAGGGGGACAACAGUUGGAAACGACUGCUAAUACCGCAUAAGCCCACGGCUCGGCAUCGAGCAGAGGGAAAAGGAGCAAUCCGCUUUGAGAUGGCCUCGCGUCCGAUUAGCUAGUUGGUGAGGUAAUGGCCCACCAAGGCGACGAUCGGUAGCCGGACUGAGAGGUUGAACGGCCACAUUGGGACUGAGACACGGCCCAGACUCCUACGGGAGGCAGCAGUGGGGAAUAUUGCACAAUGGGGGAAACCCUGAUGCAGCGACGCCGCGUGGAGGAAGAAGGUCUUCGGAUUGUAAACUCCUGUUGUUGAGGAAGAUAAUGACGGUACUCAACAAGGAAGUGACGGCUAACUACGUGCCAGCAGCCGCGGUAAAACGUAGGUCACAAGCGUUGUCCGGAAUUACUGGGUGUAAAGGGAGCGCAGGCGGGCGAUCAAGUUGGAAGUGAAAUCCAUGGGCUCAACCCAUGAACUGCUUUCAAAACUGAUUGUCUUGAGUAGUGCAGAGGUAGGCGGAAUUCCCGGUGUAGCGGUGGAAUGCGUAGAUAUCGGGAGGAACACCAGUGGCGAAGGCGGCCUACUGGGCACCAACUGACGCUGAGGCUCGAAAGUGUGGGUAGCAAACAGGAUUAGAUACCCUGGUAGUCCACACCGUAAACGAUGAUUACUAGGUGUUGGAGGAUUGACCCCUUCAGUGCCGCAGUUAACACAAUAAGUAAUCCACCUGGGGAGUACGACCGCAAGGUUGAAACUCAAAGGAAUUGACGGGGGCCCGCACAAGCAGUGGAGAAUGUGGUUUAAUUCGACGCAACGCGAAGAACCUUACCAAGUCUUGACAUCCUGCGGCGAUGCUAGAAAUAGUAUUUUCCUUCGGGACGCAGAGACAGGUGGUGCAUGGUUGUCGUCAGCUCGUGUCGUGAGAUGUUGGGUUAAGUCCCGCAACGAGCGCAACCCUUGCCUUUAGUUGCCAGCAUUAAGUUGGGCACUCCAGAGGGACUGCCAGGGAUAACCUGGAGGAAGGUGGGGAUGACGUCAAAUCAUCAUGCCCCUUAUGCUUAGGGCUACACACGUGCUACAAUGGGUGGUACAGAGGGCAGCCAAGUCGUGAGGCGGAGCUAAUCCCUUAAAGCCAUUCUCAGUUCGGAUUGUAGGCUGAAACUCGCCUACAUGAAGCUGGAGUUACUAGUAAUCGCAGAUCAGAAUGCUGCGGUGAAUGCGUUCCCGGGUCUUGUACACACCGCCCGUCACACCACGGGAGUUGGGGGCGCCCGAAGCCGGAUUGCUAACCUUUUGGAAGUGUCCGUCGAAGGUGAAAUCAAUAACUGGGGUGAAGUCGUAACAAGGUA
rnacentral:rRNA from 1 species